GACGAACGCUGGCGGCGUGCUUAACACAUGCAAGUCGAACGAAGUGGCGAACGGGUGCGUAACGCGUAAUCAACCUGCCCUUCAGCGGGGGACAACAGUUUGAAACGACUGCUAAUACCGCAUACUGAAGGCGGUGAUUGCGUCGGAUUAGCUAGGUGGAGGGUUAACGGCCCACCAAGGCGAUGAUCAGUAGCCGGUCUGGGAGGAUGAACGGCAACAGUGGGACUGAGACACGGCCCAGACUCUUACGGUAGGCAGCAGGGGGGAAUCGUCCGCAAUGGAAGAAAGUCUGACGGGGCAACGCCGCGGGAGGGAUGACGGCCUUCGGGUUGUAAAGCUCUGUUAAUCGGGACGCGGUACCGGAAUAGAAAGCCACGGCUAACUACGUGCCAGCCGCCGCGGUAAUUC
rnacentral:rRNA from 1 species